rnacentral:rRNA from 1 species
UCUUACGAUCAUAUUCUACUAAAUGCAUUAGAAUCCAUUUGAACUGUGAAGUAAAUCAGUUCCAAGGUAUCUUAGUAGUUAGAUGGGAGAUCUCUUAUAAACAGUUAGUGCCGCCGUAA